UGGGGAAUAUUGCACAAUGGGCGCAAGCCUGAUGCAGCCAUGCCGCGUGUAUGAAGAAGGCCUUCGGGUUGUAAAGUACUUUCAGCGAGGAGGAAGGCGUUGUGGUUAAUAACCGCAACGAUUGACGUUACUCGCAGAAGAAGCACCGGCUAACUCCGUGCCAGCAGCCGCGGUAAUACGGAGGGUGCAAGCGUUAAUCGGAAUUACUGGGCGUAAAGCGCACGCAGGCGGUCUGUCAAGUCGGAUGUGAAAUCCCCGGGCUCAACCUGGGAACUGCAUCCGAAACUGGCAGGCUAGAGUCUUGUAGAGGGGGGUAGAAUUCCAGGUGUAGCGGUGAAAUGCGUAGAGAUCUGGAGGAAUACCGGGGGCGAAGGCGGCCCCCUGGACAAAGACUGACGCUCAGGUGCGAAAGCGUGGGGAGCAAACA
rnacentral:rRNA from 1 species